UACGUAGGGGCCGAGCGUUGUCCGGAGUUAUUGGGCGUAAAGCGCGCGCAGGCGGCCUCGCGCGCCCGACGUGAAAGCCCCCGGCUUAACCGGGGAGGGUCGUUGGGGACGGCGGGGCUUGAGGGCGGGAGAGGUCGGUGGAAUUCCCGGUGUAGUGGUGAAAUGCGUAGAUAUCGGGAGGAACACCAGUGGCGAAGGCGACUUCCUGGCCUGUUCUUGACGCUGAGGCGCGAAAGCUAGGGUAGCAAACGGG
rnacentral:rRNA from 1 species